AUUGAACGCUGGCGGCAUGCUUUACACAUGCAAGUCGAACGGCAGCGCGGGCUUCGGCCUGGCUGCGAGUGGCGAACGGGUGAGUAAUGCAUCGGAACGUGCCCAGCUAUGUGGGAUAGCCCGGCAAAAGCCGGAUUAAUACCGCAUACGACCUGAGGGUGAAAGCGUGGGACCGAAAGGCCUCGCGCUCUUGGACCGGCCGAUGUCGGAUUAGCUAGUUGGUGGGGUAAAGGCUUACCAAGGCGACGAUCCGUAGCUGGUCUGAGAGGACGACCAGCCACACUGGGACUGAGACACGGCCCAGACUCCUACGGGAGGCAGCAGUGGGGAAUUUUGGACAAUGGGGGCAACCCUGAUCCAGCCAUGCCGCGUGCGGGAAGAAGGCCUUCGGGUUGUAAACCGCUUUUGUUCGGGAAGAAAUCCUCUGGGCUAAUACCCCGGGGGGAUGACGGUACCGGAAGAAUAAGCACCGGCUAACUACGUG
rnacentral:rRNA from 1 species